rnacentral:rRNA from 1 species
UAACACAUGCAAGUCGAACGAGCGAGAGAGAGCUUGCUUUCUCGAGCGAGUGGCGAACGGGUGAGUAACGCGUGAGGAACCUGCCUCAAAGAGGGGGACAACAGUUGGAAACGACUGCUAAUACCGCAUAAGCCCACGACCCGGCAUCGGGUAGAGGGAAAAGGAGCAAUCCGCUUUGAGAUGGCCUCGCGUCCGAUUAGCUAGUUGGUGAGGUAACGGCCCACCAAGGCGACGAUCGGUAGCCGGACUGAGAGGUUGAACGGCCACAUUGGGACUGAGACACGGCCCAGACUCCUACGGGAGGCAGCAGUGGGGAAUAUUGCACAAUGGGGGAAACCCUGAUGCAGCGACGCCGCGUGGAGGAAGAAGGUCUUCGGAUUGUAAACUCCUGUUGUUGAGGAAGAUAAUGACGGUACUCAACAAGGAAGUGACGGCUAACUACGUGCCAGCAGCCGCGGUAAAACGUAGGUCACAAGCGUUGUCCGGAAUUACUGGGUGUAAAGGGAGCGCAGGCGGGAAGACAAGUUGGAAGUGAAAUCCAUGGGCUCAACCCAUGAACUGCUUUCAAAACUGUUUUUCUUGAGUAGUGCAGAGGUAGGCGGAAUUCCCGGUGUAGCGGUGGAAUGCGUAGAUAUCGGGAGGAACACCAGUGGCGAAGGCGGCCUACUGGGCACCAACUGACGCUGAGGCUCGAAAGUGUGGGUAGCAAACAGGAUUAGAUACCCUGGUAGUCCACACUGUAAACGAUGAUUACUAGGUGUUGGAGGAUUGACCCCUUCAGUGCCGCAGU